rnacentral:tRNA from 1 species
GCCCGGGUGGCUCAGUCGGUUAAGCAUCUGACUUUGGCUCAAGUUAUGAUCUCGCAGUUCGUGGGUUUAAGUCCCACAUCGGGCU